AGGAUGUGGCGUUGCCCAGACAACUAGGAUGUUGGCUUAGAAGCAGCCAUCAUUUAAAGAGUGCGUAAUAGCUCACUAGUCGAGUGACACUGCGCCGAAAAUGUACCGGGGCUAAACAUAUUACCGAAGCUGUGGAUUGUCCUUUGGACAAUGGUAGGAGAGCGUUCUAAGGGCGUUGAAGCAUGAUCGUAAGGACAUGUGGAGCGCUUAGAAGUGAGAAUGCCGGUGUGAGUAGCGAAAGACGGGUGAGAAUCCCGUCCACCGAUUGACUAAGGUUUCCAGAGGAAGGCUCGUCCGCUCUGGGUUAGUCGGGUCCUAAGCUGAGGCCGACAGGCGUAGGCGAUGGAUAACAGGUUGAUAUUCCUGUACCACCUAUAAUCGUUUUAAUCGAUGGGGGGACGCAGUAGGAUAGGCGAAGCGUGCGAUUGGAUUGCACGUCUAAGCAGUAAGGCUGAGUAUUAGGCAAAUCCGGUACUCAUUAAGGCUGAGCUGUGAUGGGGAGAAGACAUUGUGUCUUCGAGUCGUUGAUUUCACACUGCCGAGAAAAGCCUCUAGAUAGAAAAUAGGUGCCCGUACCGCAAACCGACACAGGUAGUCAAGAUGAGAAUUCUAAGGUGAGCGAGCGAACUCUCGUUAAGGAACUCGGCAAAAUGACCCCGUAACUUCGGGAGAAGGGGUGCUCUUUAGGGUUAACGCCCAGAAGAGCCGCAGUGAAUAGGCCCAAGCGACUGUUUAUCAAAAACACAGGUCUCUGCUAAACCGUAAGGUGAUGUAUAGGGGCUGACGCCUGCCCGGUGCUGGAAGGUUAAGAGGAGUGGUUAGCUUCUGCGAAGCUACGAAUCGAAGCCCCAGUAAACGGCGGCCGUAACUAUAACGGUCCUAAGGUAGCGAAAUUCCUUGUCGGGUAAGUUCCGACCCGCACGAAAGGCGUAACGAUUUGGGCACUGUCUCAACGAGAGACUCGGUGAAAUCAUAGUACCUGUGAAGAUGCAGGUUACCCGCGACAGGACGGAAAGACCCCGUGGAGCUUUACUGUAGCCUGAUAUUGAAAUUCGGCACAGCUUGUACAGGAUAGGUAGGAGCCUUUGAAACGUGAGCGCUAGCUUACGUGGAGGCGCUGGUGGGAUACUACCCUAGCUGUGUUGGCUUUCUAACCCGCACCACUUAUCGUGGUGGGAGACAGUGUCAGGCGGGCAGUUUGACUGGGGCGGUCGCCUCCUAAAAGGUAACGGAGGCGCUCAAAGGUUCCCUCAGAAUGGUUGGAAAUCAUUCAUAGAGUGUAAAGGCAUAAGGGAGCUUGACUGCGAGACCUACAAGUCGAGCAGGGUCGAAAGACGGACUUAGUGAUCCGGUGGUUCCGCAUGGAAGGGCCAUCGCUCAACGGAUAAAAGCUACCCCGGGGAUAACAGGCUUAUCUCCCCCAAGAGUUCACAUCGACGGGGAGGUUUGGCACCUCGAUGUCGGCUCAUCGCAUCCUGGGGCUGUAGUCGGUCCCAAGGGUUGGGCUGUUCGCCCAUUAAAGCGGUACGCGAGCUGGGUUCAGAACGUCGUGAGACAGUUCGGUCCCUAUCCGUCGUGGGCGUAGGAAAUUUGAGAGGAGCUGUCCUUAGUACGAGAGGACCGGGAUGGACAUACCUCUGGUGUACCAGUUGUCGUGCCAACGGCAUAGCUGGGUAGCUAUGUGUGGACGGGAUAAGUGCUGAAAGCAUCUAAGCAUGAAGCCCCCCUCAAGAUGAGAUUUCCCAACUUCGGUUAUAAGAUCCCUCAAAGAUGAUGAGGUUAAUAGGUUCGAGGUGGAAGCAUGGUGACAUGUGGAGCUGACGAAUACUAAUCGAUCGAAGACUUAAUCAA
rnacentral:rRNA from 1 species